rnacentral:rRNA from 1 species
UCGCCUGUUUAUCAAAAACAUGGUUUCUUGUGAGAAUAAGAGAUUUGACCUGCCCGCUGAAGAACAUUUGAAGGGCCGCAGUAUUUUGACUGUGCAAAGGUAGCAUAAUCAUUAGUCUUUUAAUUAAAGGCUUGUAUGAAUGGUUGGACGAGGUAAAUUCUGUCUUGAAUUAAAUAGAAAUUGAAUUUAAAUUUUAAGUAAAAAUGCUUAAUUGAUAUUAAGGGACGAGAAGACCCUAUAGAGUUUAAUGUGUAAUUUUUGCAGUAAGUUUAUAAGUAAUGAAUUUAUUAUUAAAGGGUAUGCAUUUGGUUGGGGUGAUGAGAAGAUAAGUAAAACUCUUUUUUGAUUUGAAUUAUAAUAUUAAGUUUUAUGAUCCAUUAUUAUUGAUUAAAAGAUUAAAUUACCUUAGGGAUAACAGCAUAAUUUUCUUUGAGAGUUCAUAUCGAAAGGAAAGAUUAUGACCUCGAUGUUGGAUUAAGAUAAGACUUGGGUGUAGAUGUUCAAGUUCUAGGUCUGUUCGACCUUAAAAUUCUUACAUGAUCUGAGUUCAAACCGG